GAUGACGAUGAAGGUGUUGAUGACUUUUAUUGUGCAGCUGAUGACUGUAUUUUACGUCUCUUUAGACGGCGGUGCCAUUUCCUGGGGCACCUCUUCCACGGUUUUGGAAGGUGUAUCCAUAGUAGUAAUAGGAACCGGCUCUUUUUUGCGAGGCUGCAAAAACAUUGUGAUUGGCAGUUGCUGCCGCUGCUUCUUUUUCCGGUCAAAGAGCAGCUUGUAAGGCAAUCAUGACGUCAACCUUGUUGCAAAAUUGGACUGAUCGAACCAUAUCAUCAUCCCAUUCCUGUAACUGCUCUUGCAGAUCCUUAGCUAGUCUGCAGAUCUCAGCGAGCCGUUCCAAAGUCAAGCCAGUUGGGGAGACAACUUCUUCUGUUUCUUG
rnacentral:lncRNA from 1 species